CAGGCCGCCGCGGGAAUACGAAGGGUGCAAGCGUUACUCGGAAUUACUGGGCGUAAAGCGUGCGUAGGUGGUGGUUUAAGUCCGUUGUGAAAGCCCUGGGCUCAACCUGGGAAUUGCAGUGGAUACUGGGUCACUAGAGUGUGGUAGAGGAUAGUGGAAUUUCCGGUGUAGCAGUGAAAUGCGUAGAGAUCGGAAGGAACAUCUGUGGCGAAGGCGACUAUCUGGGCCAACACUGACACUGAGGCACGAAAGCGUGGGGUGCAAACAGGAUUAGAUACCCCAGUAGUCCCUGUCUCUUAUA
rnacentral:rRNA from 1 species